AAACCGUUUGCACAGUUGAACAGAAAACUUUCCAACUGGAAGAGAUAUUGACCACCCAGAGCCUAGACACUGUCUGCUAUGCUGAGAAAAUCACUGUGGAUGAAAAGGAAGAAACAAAGAUAGAAAACAUGAUGUCUGACAGCCACAAAAG